rnacentral:lncRNA from 1 species
CAUUAACCAGACCUUUAGAACCCUAAUUGACUCAUCCUGGCCAUUAGAAAGUAGUGAGAUAACUGGCUUCGGUUCCGACUGGAGUUGGUUGAGACUCGAUACUACACUCUUUGAAGAUUGGACUUUUAGGGAAGCUUAGGUCAACCACUUGGUGUUGCACUGAAGUGGACUUAAGAAAGGUCAAUGAUUUGAGAUCCUUCUAGAACCCGGUUACUAUUCUAAGACAGGUUGAACCAACCAAACUUCAGUGGGGAGGGUAUUUACCUAUGGAAUCACGCAGCCUUAAAACCUAGGAAUGAUUGUUGUGUGACUUGCUUGUGCUUGUUAUUUAUCUAACAACAUGACAUCAUAACAACAUAACAUCAUAACAUCAUGGCAUUGUACUAACCAUUUCAAGGAUUUAGGGAUUUAACUCUGCUAAAAAAAAACAGAAAAAACAAAAACAAAAGCAAAACAAAAGAGAAAAGAAAAAAAAAGCUCUUUUUGUUAGUUUAUGCAAAGUUAAAUCCCGAAAGUCCUUGAAAACAUUUCAUACAUUGCAUUGCAUCGCAUAACAGGUAUUCUAAAGGAUCAGUGUUCUCACGAUUUUCCUAUCAAACAGAUUCCAGCAGAUUCAAACAGAUUGAACAAUGGCUCUCGAA